rnacentral:lncRNA from 10 species
GGGACCUGGAUGUGGAACUGCAGUGUGCCUUGCAAACUUGAAGAGAACGACCUUGAUAAUGGAUGGUGAAGCAAGAAAGAGGAGCCUGAGGCUGAGCGCAGUGACUCACACCUGUAAUCCCAGCACUUUGGGAGGCUAAGGUGGGCAGAUUGCUUGAGCCCAGGAAUUUGAGACCAGCCUGGAUAACGCGUGGUGGGCAGUUCCAGGACACCUGACAUGUUCCCACUGCAGAAACCACACGGGUUUCUCCAGCACCACUGAGACUUGCUCAGCCUGUGUAGAGUAGCCUGGACAUACUGGGGCUUUAUUUUCCUGAGGACAACCCUCAACCAAUGAGUGCCAGGAAUCAUUUUGCCUUUUCUGGGAUGCUCCAGAACUCUAGGAGGACAAAAAAGCCCUUCAUGUCCAACAUUAGAGGAAGGCAGCAUCCUCCAAAGAAGAGUGACUCACCCUGACCAGCUGGCAGAGAAGCCCAAGGCCAGGCCCUGGGAUGUGGAGAGCCAGUCCCAGCCUGGUCUGGAAGGAGGCGUGCCAGGGUGGCAAUGAUGCAUCACCCACGUGGUUUACUGGCCUUGACUAACCUGACCAUGACUUAGCAAAGCUGUGAGG